AUGAAAUCUAAUUUCAAUGUUGUCCCACUGUCCGAUGUGUGUGACGCGUCGAUCUAUACUGCAGUUAAAUGCGUAUGGUGUCGUCACCACAGUUUUUAAAGUCGAGGAUCGCGAAAGUCUGAUCUUUAAAUACAAUAAAGA
rnacentral:misc_RNA from 1 species